AUAACAAUCACCUGGGGAUCUUAUGAAAAUGCAGAUUCUAACCCUGGGUGUCUGGAGUGCAUCCCGAGAGUCUGCAUUACUCACAAGCUUCCAGGUGAUGCUGAU
rnacentral:pre_miRNA from 1 species